rnacentral:rRNA from 1 species
AGUGAACGCUGGCGGUAGGCCUAACACAUGCAAGUCGAACGGCAGCACAGUAAGAGCUUGCUCUUACGGGUGGCGAGUGGCGGACGGGUGAGGAAUACAUCGGAAUCUACUUUUUCGUGGGGGAUAACGUAGGGAAACUUGCGCUAAUACCGCAUACGACCUACGGGUGAAAGCAGGGGAUCUUCGGACCUUGCGCGAUUGCAUGAGCCGAUGUCGGAUUAGCUAGUUGGCGGGGUAAAGGCCCACCAAGGCGACGAUCCGUAGCUGGUCUGAGAGGAUGAUCAGCCACACUGGAACUGAGACACGGUCCAGACUCCUACGGGAGGCAGCAGUGGGGAAUAUUGGACAAUGGGCGCAAGCCUGAUCCAGCCAUACCGCGUGGGUGAAGAAGGCCUUCGGGUUGUAAAGCCCUUUUGUUGGGAAAGAAAAGCAGCAGGUUAAUACCCCGCUGUUCUGACGGUACCCAAAGAAUAAGCACCGGCUAACUUCGUG